rnacentral:sRNA from 1 species
UAUCUCUCCGUACAGGGAAGGAUGAGAAUCUUCGAUUAAGGUUCGAUUCGAGCGCAGCGAGAGAACGUUGCCAACGGCAACGGCCCGAAGGGCGCGACGCGCCGAGUCAUCCUUCCCCUACCAUAA